UACGCGGGGGGCGAGCGUUGUUCGGAAUUAUUGGGCGUAAAGGGUGCGUAGGCGGUUUGGUAAGUCUCGUGUGAAAUCUCCGGGCUCAACUCGGAGCCUGCACGAGAAACUGCCGGGCUUGAGUGUGGGAGAGGUGAGUGGAAUUCCUGGUGUAGCGGUGAAAUGCGUAGAUAUCGGAAGGAACACCUGUGGCGAAAGCGGCUCACUGGACCAUAACUGACGCUGAGGCACGAAAGCUAGGGGAGCAAACAGG
rnacentral:rRNA from 1 species